rnacentral:tRNA from 1 species
UUAUGGGGUGUAAGUCCUCCCCUUUACA